rnacentral:lncRNA from 1 species
GUUUUAUAUGUAUGUACGCAAAUGUAUAUGUACGGUCAAAAACCACAACUGGAAUUGCCCAACAACCCACAUUGGAAUACAACUUUUUUUACAUUGGCUAUAGACAACAAUAAAGUACAAUGCCAUUACAAGUACCAACAUCAUUUUGACACAACAACUAUUAACCAACAAAAACUAAAGCCAAGGCCGGCCCAAUACUUGGGUGGCUUGGGCUUAGACCAAGGGCAUCAAAUUUAUUGGGGCAUAAAAUAAGUCCAACAAUGUUUAUAUUAUAUAUAUCAGUGGCCCAAAAAAAAUAUCCCAUAUAUUUGUGAUUUGAUUUCAGACGUGAAGAGGGCAACGAAAACACUUGAACGUCAAACAACCAUCGAUCGUUCAUCAACGCAUUGAAAAUCGAAAUGUCUAAUGCUUUGAAACUUGUUGCCAUCUGUUGAAGAGCCGUUAUCUAUAGUCAAUAUUCGAUAAUACAUACCUCCCAAUUUCUUUCACUGAUAUCCUUUUCAUUGUUUUCUCUAAAGCACCCAAUCUCUAAUGAUUUUUUUCUCUUUCAGUCGAUUUAUUUUUCUAUGAUUUAUUUCUCUAAUUUGGUUCGGUGGUUCACACAAAAUCGUGGUUCAAGUCUUCUGAUUUCUGAUACAACGAUUCUGAUUCAGUGAUUUGGGCGUCAUUCUGAUUUUGGGUGAGUUUUCAUUGUUCUCAUUUUAAUUUCAUAAGUGAUUUAUGUUUUGUGUUUUUGUUAUUUGUUUUAGAAUUAAGAUUUUUACUUGUUGGGUGUUCCAGUGAAAGCCUUCUAUGUGAUUACAUCUAUUUUAUUAUAGGGAAAAAGAGUGAAUCGUGGCUCAAACUCUUAUUUGAUUUUUCAUUUUUGUAUCUGAUUUCUUUAUUGUUUCAUAAAUCAGAUUUGGGUUUGGUUGUUUCAGAAAUUAGAUUUAGGUGAGCUCAUUUGAUAUAUGUGUUUAUUUAGGUUUGUUUCAUAAAUCUAAUUUAUUUCUUAAUUAUCUGAUCUCUUCUCUAUUUGAUUACAGGAAAAAAAAGUUUGAGCUCCAAAAUCAAUUUUGUAUCUGAUUUCUCCAUUGUUUUUGAGAUCAUAUUUGGGUAAUUUCUCUAAUGUUUUCUCCUAGUGUGAGCUCUGAAAUCAUAUUUGUUUUUG